rnacentral:lncRNA from 1 species
CCAAACAAAGAGCAAAGGAAGAACAAAGGGAAAAAAGAAAAACAAGAACCCUAGGUGGAAAAAUUCAAAGGAAAAUUGGUGGAUUUCAAGGAAUCAAGCAAUCAAAGGUAAAAUUUCUUGAUUUUGACUUGUGAUCUACCUUUCCCAUGCAUUUCUCCUUAUUUUUCAUGGUUAAAUUUCAUGUUUUCAUGGUGAAUUCAUGGCUGCCCAAAUGGGUAUGGAGAGAGAAUGAAGUUAGAUUGAUUUGAUUUUAAGUUAUGUUAGUGUUUUUAGUUAGUUUAGCAUAUUUAGAAACAAAACAACAAGAAAAGAAUUCAUUUUCCCCCAUCACCAUCAUUGGCCGAAUUUUCUAGGGAGGAUAUUGUAGUUGAAAUUGAUGAUAUGUCAUGAUAUUUGGGUGAUAUUUGACGUUUGGUGAGGCUAGAAAUUUAAUGGGAAAUUUUAGUGUGAAAAUAUGAAUUUUUACCUAAUGUAUAGACAUGUGUGAUUAUUGACUCGGGACUGAUAAAUUGAAUCUCAUUCACAAUCACUAAGGUAAUUUAGGUAUAAUUGGAGUGUAGAAAGUGAGAAGAAUUGAUUUGGAGUUAAAUUGGAGAUUUUAACCGAUUAGACCGAUUAUAGUGUGACUUAGGUCGAAUAUCACAUUUAAGUGAUUAAUCAGACAUUUUGCAUCCCAUUGCAUGCAUUCAUUUAGAUUUAGCGAGCCUGAAAUAGUUUAUGAUAAAUUAACACAAUUUAUUGAAAUUCGUGUCACAUAUGAUGUUAGGUGGUGAGCCCUCUAACAAGGGUGGAGAGAUUGUGCCCGAGGAGUAUAUCGAACUCCUAGUACUGUGAGUAACCUUACCUUCAUUUUUAUUAUCUAAAGUAUGUUUUUAAUCGACUUUGGUGAAAUUUUAUGAAAAAGGAGUUUAAAUGGUAAAUCUUUGUGUUUUACAAACAAAAUGUAUUUACAUGAAAGGAUUUUAUAAAGUGUCUUGAAAUCGAAUAAUGAUUUUAAAAAAUAGAGUAAUUGGAGACCACUUGUUAUAUUGUAAAUUUAUGAUUUGAAAUCAAAUGGCUUAUGACAAUAUUUGCAUGAAUGGCUGAAUUGAUAUUUGUGUUGAAAUGUAUGAAAUUUGUAUUUAGCCUUGAAAGGCUGUGAAUUACAAUAAUUGCCAUAUCAUGUUAUUGAAUUUUAUUGUAUGGUGGGUUUAGCUUGCUGCAGUGGGCAGAUUCUGUGGACCAGCCUAUUAGAGGGGCACAGAAUCCAAAUAUAUAUAUGUACCUCGGUCGGAGAGACGCGUAAGGUAUCUCUUGAGGUAUGGACAGAGUUCGCGUCACGCCGAACCACCUCAUGAUGAGGAACUCAGCUAACGCCAAGGAAUGACUGUGUUUUUCAAACUAAAAAUAUGUUUUACGUGUAUACGAAACUUUUUAACAACCUUGGUGGGCUCAAGUGUACGCCUCUGAUCAAGGUGUCAUCGAGUACUAUUUGAUCGAUGUUUAUGAAAGUCAUAAGCCUUAAUGAGAAAUUAAAUGAAAUACAACCGUUUGCAUGGGUUGGGAUGAAUUUUCAAAUUAUGAAAUACUUAAAAUGAUGGGAAAUUUUAAUUGUCUCCUUUUACUCGGCUUUAGCUGAUUUAAAUGAUGUUUGUUUACUCACUGGGAUUUUAUAAUCUCACCACCCUCAUUUUCACCCAUUUCAGGCUCAGAGUAGGCUGUAGAUAGCUGAUUCCAUCAAUGGCUUUUAUUGGAUUAGCGUCCUCCACACAGUAGGUUCACAGUUUCUUUAAUUCUGGUUAUUAUGGGCCCACUUGAUAUUGUAAAUUUAAUAGUUUAUUGUGCUACAAUAUGAUGAAUUUAUUUUUUUUUUUACAUUACAAAAAGUAUUUACACAUAACUCCAAAAUUUCUGUUCAUAAGAAAAUAAAAUAUUUUAUGGAAUAUUUUGUUUUAUCUUCUUAUUAUAUUCAAAUAAUUAUAAUUUUAUUUUAAAUAAAGGUUUUAGAUGCCUAAACUUAUUUUUAAUUGUGAAUUAUGCGAUUGGUACUUGUUUACUACAUUUUUAACUGGUUUCGUAAUUUUCAGUGGAAAAUGACCAAAAUGCCCCUAUGAGACAAUUUUUUUUUAUCAGUUUUAAGUUGGAAAUAGCUCAAAAUCCUUUAGAACAUAAUAUUUGGCAACAGUUACUCACCGGGGGAAAUGAGAAACUGAUGUUAAGCCUUGUAGGGUUUCGGUUGGCAUUUCGGGAGAUGAGUACCUAUCGGGGCACUGCGGCUGUUGUCACGGGCUUGAGGGGAGUUUCGGGUCGUGACAUUAUUCCUCCAACCAGGAUUGCAAGUGUUGAAAUAUAAAUUAUUCUGUUACCUAUUAAAAUUUCCAAUGAACUAUGCAGAUUCAGCAGUAAUGGGACACUGAUCAUUGGGAUGCCUAUCUCCACAUAACUCACAUGUUGAAAAAGGACUUUGAAUAACAUUAACACCCAACGUAUCAAUUUUCUUAGUGAUAGUAGCCAAUUGUGCUGUCAAUGUAUUAAUUGCAUCAAGCUCAUGAAUACUAACAACUUUUGUUGGACCAAAUCUCUCGUAUGGCAAUUGAUAAUUGUUGGAAGCCAUCUC